CGUCACAUGAGUCACGUGGUCCUAAUCUGAUGAAGUUUGUUUUGAUUGUUAUUUCAGCAAAUUCAACAGCCGGAAUUUGCCAGGCCAAAGUUGUUCGACAGUUCUGAGGAACAUUGUCUUCGAUGUACGGUUUAGCAUUUUUAUCGAUGAUCUGCAACGUACAAAGUGUGAAAUAACGAUAAAUACAGUACAGUGAUACACAUUCUUACCCGUUUCAUUCGUUCGUCUUUGAUCGGAGCAUCGAUGAUGGUAACGUCUUUUAUAUCAACUUUCCACAACAAACAAGCGAGUUUCUGUUCGUAUCUGUAGUGCCUGGAAAAUAUAUGGAUAACGUGGUGUUUAAUACUACGGGAGAAAAAAAGGUAUUAAAUGCUUUAUGUAAUCUGUUCGCGAUGUCAUCGUCUCGCUGUCGUCGUCGUCGUCGUCGUCGAUUCAACUCUGCGAGUCCGCAUAAAUAUAUCGAACUUACUUUAUACCGAAAGCGAGUCCGACGAAAAGAGCCACGGAUAGUAUUCCCACCAACAGCGGCGUCUUCCAGUUAAUAUUAGGAACACAUUUUUCAUUAUAAAAGCCACAUUUUGGUUCGGCGAUUGGAACUUUACCGUUAAUCCAUUGGAAUGGUUUGCUUUCGUUGAAGUACCUGAAAUCCUACAAAGAAAAUACGGUUCUAAGUAUAGAUUUCGAUCGAUGAUACCUCUACCUAUCAUCUAUAUAGUGAAUUCUAAAAACGUACUGGUGGUGCUAGAAAAACAUGUGUAGAGCUCGGUUCAUUGCACUCGUCUGAGAUGAUACCGACGACAACGUGGCGUUGGCCUACUGAAAAAAUCGUGGCGAGAAUUCUUUUGUUUUUGGAGUGUUCAACGGUUGAUUGAAAGCCCAAAAAAUGUUGACUCCAAUCCAAUGGACCUACCUCAUCGCUCGAACAGCAUCCGAACGUAACUUCUCAGCGUAAUUACGAUUGGUAUCCGCUUCGCUGUAAUGUUUCAAAUUCAUCUGAGUCCAUUCGUAAGGAGUAAAUCGAGAAGAUAAGGCGAUGGCUCCGGUAUUGAUGGAUUUACCCAUAUCUUGGCCUAGGCUGGGAAAUUUCACCAGUUCCAUGCCAGCUCGAGAUGGUGGCACGUAACAUGGGUCUACGGUGGAAGAAAAUUUGUUCGAUCUGUUUCUGCAAAUUAAAUAGUAAUCGACGAUGUCCAUCUCUGGUUGCUGUACGGUUUAAUCAUCAUAUUGACGAUUUUGGCUCGAAGCUGUGCAGUACGAUUCGAGCGAAAUGAAAAUCAGCUAAACGCGACCGACAUCUUAUUCCAACGAGGUAACUUUAUUAAA